GGGAGGAGGGCGCGCGAGGCGACCACUCAACGGCCGGCGGCGCCCGAGGGAAUAAGAGCUCACGCGGGGAACGGCCUUCCUGGCUCUCGGAAGCUGCAACCUGAGUUUGAGUUCUUCGGUGAGUGGGAGCCAGGAUGCUGCUGCUGCUGCUUCAUUAAUAUUAUAAUUAUUUUACUGGUCUUCACUUAAUGUUGCCACUAGCUGGUGCUAGAAAGCCAUUUAUAAAGCAUCCUGCACUAUAAAGAAAAUCUUUUCAUUAGUCAUUAGUUAAUACAGUGGAUGGGGUGCAGGUAGAGAUAGUGAGGCCCUGCCAAGGAAUUCCUGUUGCUCACUUGUUCUGUGAUGUCUCAUGGAGCAGGGAGUUUUCCAAAUAUGCCUGCGGUAGGGGAACCUCAGGCACAGGAACUGAAUGCAGCCCUCCAGGAGUCAUAGAAUCAUAGCGUUGGAGGGGAUCCCAAGGCUUAUCUGAUCCAACCCCCUGCAAUGCAGGAAUCUCAACAAUCCUCUAUCCAAUUUGAAACCAUACCAGACCCUGCUUAUCUUUGCAAAUGUGCUAGCUAGGAGUCUCUCUGGUCCCGAAGACUCAACAAUUUUGCACCCUCCUUGAGUGCUUUCGCCUGGCUGGAAUGUGUCCAUGAACUUUGAGCAUGCCUUGCUUGUCUGUAUGGAGGGCAGACAGGGAGCAGGAUGAGCAUGUGUGGAAACUAGCCUACUGAACAAAGUUACCAUAUUUUUCCGUCUAUAAGAUGCCCCAUGUAUAAGAUGCCCCCUAUUUUGGGGUCUUAGAUUUAAGAAAAUGGGGGGAGAUGUAUCUGUGUAUAAGACACCCCUUAAUUUUUGACAUUAUCUUUUAGGGAAAAAACCUAGUCUUAUACACGGGAAAAUACUGUACAUUGGUCCACCCAUUUCUGCAUCUGACCCUGCCCACCACUGUCAUGUGGCCCCCCAGACAUUUGCCCAGAUUUGAAUGCAGCCCUCAGGUCCUCACUCCUGGAAUAUGUCAUCAAUUGUUAUUAGCUGCCCUCUGUCCUGCCACCCUGAAAAACGUUAGUUAGAAACACCCCCAUUCCCCACUUCUAGGGGUGCCUAGGAUAAUUGCCUAGGAUUAUAUUGUUGAUAUUUCUUUUAUUUAUUUGUUCAAAUUUGGGACUCCCCCUGUCCUUUUUUCAUAUUGAUUAAGCAACAUUGGGGUGAAGCUUCACACAUAUUGUAUCAAGUUUUUCAGGGGGAGAUAUUUUUCAGCCAACACACAGGACCAUAUUUGUGGACCAGUAACACACACACACACAAAUAAUGUUGCGGUCAUCAUACAAUCGCAGCAAGAUUUUUCAAUAAAACAGUGUUUUAUCAGUUCUCAUGUGUUUACUGAUGUGCACAUGUACACAGAAAAAUCAGGAAGGUUGCAAUGGUGCUGUCUUAGCUCUCCCUGGAGGAUAAGGAAUUCAAACUCAUUUUCUUCCAAAAUCUUUAAUGCUCAAAUCAGUACUGUGCAUGGCUAAGCAAGCUAAGACAUUGAUCCAGCAAGUGACAUGCCCCCUUGUGUCCCAUUAUAUAGGAGCGGACUGGGCAAGCAAACUAGAAUUGGAGGGUUGGACCUGAGCACUUGCAACUCCCAACCAGCCCCUCCAGGAUGUCUGCUCUGGACUCAAGACAGAUGCAGAUGAAAGGGAAUGAUGAAACUGCAGCAAAGGGGGCAUGCUUGAAUUUGAGAAUCCAUUUUAGAAACUGCUCUAGUCAAACUGGAAUCCAGGAAGAGCUGGGCAUCAGAUGGGGAGCAAACAAAAGGAGCGAUACAGGAACGGAACUGGAGAAAUUCUCUCACCACAAUCGCUGACAGCUCCAUCCCAUGGGUGGAACCUGAUGCGACUGCAGCCUUCCCUCUUUCCCACAUUGCCGAAGAAUGCUUUGUUGGUUGGAAUGUGAAGAACAUGCCAAGCAUUUCAAAUGCCCCAAUGCUGCUGGAGGAACGUGCUGGAAGAUAACAGGAAACAGUCCUGUUUUCCUAAUCUGAGUGAAGCAUGAAGCCCUUCAGGGACAAGACAGAAGAGGCUGUUUUGUGUUCUCAUAUUUGCAAUUGUUUCAGCUACUCCUGCUUUCUGACACCUGUUCAAAGUACUGAGUUGUAUCCAACGUUGGUCUUACUCCAAGUAAACCUACUGAAAUUAA